rnacentral:tRNA from 1 species
GGAGAGGUGGCCGAGUGGCUUAAGGCGCACGCUUGGAAAGCGUGUUUCCCGAAAGGGGACCAGGGUUCGAAUCCCUGUCUCUCCG